CGAGGUUGAUCGGUGGGCCUCGUUAAAAGCCGAUUAUAAAAUUUCAAUUGCCAAUAACCAAAUGGCUAUGGCCGCCUAAGAACAGGUUGCCCCGGAUAUGAUCCUUAGCCGAAGAGGAGAAAUAUUCGGUCGCCAAAUUCGGAUCGUUCCGCGUCGCGUCGGACACGCGCGGAAUUAAAUCUUGCUUUCGAAUCGUCCUGGCGAGACCGUCGUCGAUAAGGGCUCAACGGGAUUAAACUUUAAAGAAUCGACUACGCGCGUAGACGUUCUCGUAGAGACGUCGCAGGACGCGGGUUCGAUCCCCGCCGCCUCCAC
rnacentral:tmRNA from 1 species